GAUGAACGCUGGCGGCGUGCUUAACACAUGCAAGUCGAACGAAGAUGCCGGAGUGCUUGCACUUUGGCAGACUGAGUGGCGGACGGGUGAGUAACGCGUGGGUAACCUGCCCUGUACCGGGGGACAACAGUUGGAAACGACUGCUAAUACCGCAUAAGCGCACAGCAUCGCAUGAUGCAGUGUGAAAAACUCCGGUGGUACAGGAUGGACCCGCGUCUGAUUAGCUUGUUGGUGAGGUAACGGCCCACCAAGGCGACGAUCAGUAGCCGGCCUGAGAGGGUGAACGGCCACAUUGGGACUGAGACACGGCCCAAACUCCUACGGGAGGCAGCAGUGGGGAAUAUUGCACAAUGGGGGAAACCCGUAGAUGCAGCGACGCCGCGUGAGUGAAGAAGUAUUUCGGUAUGUAAAGCUCUAUCAGCAGGGAAGAAAGUGACGGUACCUGAAUAAGAAGCCCGGCUAACUACGUGCCAGCAGCCGCGGU
rnacentral:rRNA from 1 species